GUGUAAACCUGUAUAUAUAGAAGGACGAGCUGAAGAAGGUGAGAGAGUCGGGAACCAGCACUCUUUGGUGAGACUUCUGCGUUGGUCCCAGCAGUGACAGAUUCCGUUCCUCAUCACGUCCCUCUUCCCGAUUUCCAUCAUGAACCUCCUCACUCCGGUGCUGUUGCUGCUGACUCUCUCUGGAUGUUCCAGUAAAGUCGUACAUGAUUUUACCCAGACAUGCCCUGAAUUCUUUGCUAAUCCAGGAGGAACUCGGUCUCCUCCAACUGUAUUUCCAGGAGAUAAUUACAAACAAAUCUGCCAAAAACGAUAUAACAAAUAUGAAUAUGCAACACUGUAUGACACAGCAAACAGGAUCCCUGUCUACUCAGCUUACAAGUUUGAAGGCAUAAUGGGUUGUAGAAGACUAAAGAAGUGGUACAUUGAACCUCAGCUUGACAACAGUGCUGCAGGUGGAGAAAUGGCACCUGAUCGCAGAAUACCACCAUUACCAAAUCAAGCUCUCAAUGCAGACUACAGUGGGACACGCAGUCACGGAUAUGAAAAAGGACACCUGGCUCCAGUUUACCACGCCAGGUCGCAGAGCUGCUCCGAUGCCACCUUCAUCCUCACCAACGCCGCUCCACAACACUACAGCUUUAACCGUGGACAAUGGGAGAGGACAGAGAGAAAAGUGGCCAAAUAUCUGGAGCAGACGUGCUCACCAAAUAAUUAUACUUUUAUUGUGACUGGGGUGGUUCCAGGCCCUAAUACUCUAAAUAACAGAGUUUCGUAUCCCCAGUCACUUCUGGACCGCUUACUGCUGUCUAGACAACAAUGGGCGAGUGAAAGCUGCAGGUGGUUUCUUAGGAAAGAACGUAAAUGUCCAGGUGCGGUAUAUAACAGUCAGUAAGCUAGAAGGAUGUCUGACUACCCUGUAUGGUAAAGGGCCUUUCCAUGUAUUUGGUGGUAACUGCAAUUUAUCAUUCGUAUCAGUCUCACGAAAAAGACCAAGAAAUUGAUUCAUUUUUGCUUUUUGUACUUUUAAUCAAUCGAUUUCUGUCAAUGAAUUUUCACAAAUCACUUUGUAAAAUGUUCAUUGUUAAGAUUUUUUCUUUCAGACAUCAAUAAAGCAAGUGUGUAAAGUCA